rnacentral:rRNA from 1 species
UGGGGAAUUUUGGACAAUGGGGGAAACCCUGAUCCAGCCAUCCCGCGUGUGCGAUGAAGGCCUUCGGGUUGUAAAGCACUUUUGGCAGGAAAGAAACGUCAUGGGUUAAUACCCCGUGAAACUGACGGUACCUGCAGACUAAGCACCGGCUAACUACGUGCCAGCAGCCGCGGUACUACGUAGGGUGCAAGCGUUAAUCGGAAUUACUGGGCGUAAAGCGUGCGCAGGCGGUUCGGAAAGAAAGAUGUGAAAUCCCAGAGCUCAACUUUGGAACUGCAUUUCUAACUACCGGGCUAGAGUGUGUCAGAGGGAGGUGGAAUUCCGCGUGUAGCAGUGAAAUGCGUAGGUAUGCGGAGGAACACCGAUGGCGAAGGCAGCCUCCUGUGAUAACACUGACGCUCAUGCAAGAAAGGGUGGGGAGCAAACAGG